UCUCUCUGCUCCUGUGCCGCACACCAUUUAGAUAGCAUUGGCUCGCCGCAGAGACGUCGCCGGCUCGCCACCAUGAGCUACAGAGGUGGCGGGAGCAGCGAAGGGGCCGAGCGCUGUCGUAUGUCGUGCGGCGGCCACACCGCAGGUAGCCACUCACGGCAACUACGCGCACGCACGCACCGGCCGCCGUCGCGCCGCGAGCUUCGCCUGGCUGUGCACUGCCGCAACCACACGUGAGUUCUUCCGACACGCACCGCCCACAGUCGACCUGCGAGCCACACAUGCACCGCCGCGAAGCGCUGCUUGAUCCCCUCCAUGGACUCGUGCUCGCCAUCGCAGUCUGUCGCCCUGGCCACGGAGAGGGCCAAGAUCCAUGGAGCUGCUCGUGGGGUGAGCAUAUCGUCCUCGUGCUCCUCAAUUCUGCUGGGGUAUCGUUUGGGCCGGGUGGCAGAGAUGGCGAAUUCCUCCUCGGGUGUCUCAGGGUGGUACACCUCCUAUAUUUUGAGAAAUAAAACUUAUGGUUAUAUUAUAUCAUCUAAGGUGAAACGUUGAAAGGGCUCUUGGAUUGUAUGCCUCGCUCAGGUAUUUAAAGGUCGUCCAAGUACACAUUUAGAAUCUGUUAGGGGGUGUGUGCGCACUUCUCUAGUAUGGCCAGGUAUUAGUCGACAAAUGAAUAUACAUCAAAAGGCACCACUCUACUUACAGUUCUUCGAGCUUUGUAGGCCUCAACAGAAGUCCCUUGGCCAAGCUUCAUUGUAAUGCCUAACUAACUACUCCCUCCGUCAAAAAAUACUUGUCAUCAAAAUGGAUAAAAAAAGAUGUAUCUAGAACUAAAAUACAUCUAGAUACAUCCUUUUUUCUCCAUUUUGAUGACAAGUAUUUCUGGACGGAGGGAGUAUUUAACAAACAACUUUGUCAACUAAUAAAAGCAACACUGCAGGUAAAUAAAUUCAUUUUCACAUGUUAUGGUAAGCUGGCUUCUUCCAGCUCCCCAAAAAACUGAGUACUAAUAUACAGAGAAGGUUUAUAAUUAUUAAGGCUACUUCACAAAUUAUUUUGGGAACGGACUAAACAUAUCAGGAUAUACACCAUCAUCUACUAAUACUCUACUAAAUGAACUAUCAAUUCACUUCUCUAGUAUUUAAAUUAUACAUGUCAUGGAAUGACUAACAGUACUUGUUCUUCUCUCAAAGCUGUCAACAAAAUACAGCCAGUAGAGAAGUUAGAAGGAUUUUGAGCUCUAAAGUCCAGGUAUCAAUCCACUUGACUGCACCGAUCUCUGGCCAUUUAAUUCAUGAAUCAACGGAUUUAUCUAUAAGAGAGUAAUUGUCUAUAAGAUAGAACUUGCUUGCAUGCAUUUCAUAGAUAAUAAAUCUGUAAAGAGAAGUUAGGAGGUAACAUACAUAUCUGAAUAUUUACACUUCAUAUACAGACCCAAUACAUCUUCAAUUCAGAGGUAGGAUAGAAGACUGUUUGGUCAGAUCUCCAUAGCUGCAAAAAUCUUCAAUAAUCUGUGAACUCCGUCAGACAGUAAUAUUAAAAAUUCCUUGUUUUAUUGAUAUAUUCACAUCUAGAUAAAGGAGGUACAUGUCCACAGGGGAGGAAAAGCAGCCAUCAAUUGUGCUAAAGUGGCCUCAGUCCAAAGACACUCUCUAAAGUAAAAUUUAGAGCACAAACUGAUGAAGUCUCUCUGAAGUAAAUUCUAAAAUACAUAAAAUGGCACGGGAAGUGUGGAGCCCUUCCAUCUUAUUUAGAUGACCUCCAGAAGAGUAGUGUUUUUGUCCUCUUGUGGAUAUUUAAAUUACAAUUACCCUAAAAAGUGAAGUUAACUCGUGAAUAUGUGCUUUAAGCAGAUCCAACUUCAUUACUUUUGAAAAUAAAACAAUUCUCUUCAAUGAUAUAACUUUAUACUUCAUAUUUGUUCAGACAUUGUCAAUUCAAUUUUUUGGCACGCGAUACAGCUAAAAAAAGUGGUAGUUGACAAAUGAAUGCCCAUCAGAUGGUACCACUUUGAUACAGUGCAUCCAGCCUUGUAGGCCUAAAAAAAUGCCCCUUCGCCAAGCUUCACUGUGAUGCCUAACUAACUACUCCCUCCGUUCCAUAUUUGUUAAUUGAUAAACUGAUUUCUUCCAGCUGCCCAAAAAACAGAGUACCAAUACACAUGAAGGCUGUUUAGUUGUUAAGGCAACUUUACAAAUCAUUUUGGGAAUGGACUAAACACAUAUACACCAGUUGAAUGCGAAGAAAAGAAAUCAUUUAUCUACUAAUACUCCACUAAAUGAACUCCAACAAUUCACAUCUCUAGUAUGGUAUUAUACAUGUCAAAGAAUGACAAACAGUACUUAUUCCUCCCUCGAAGUUGUCAAGGAAAUACAACCAGUAGAGAACCUGGAAGGAUAGUGAGCUCUAAACUCCAGAUAUCUAAGGGGGUAAUUGCAGAUAAGAUAGGACUUGCUUGGAUGCAUUUCAUAGAUAAUAAAUCUGUAAAGAGUGGUUAGGAGGUAAUCCCUUUGUAAACUAAUAUAAGACCAUUUAGAUCACAACUUUAGUGAUCUAAAGUAGUAGUCUAAACGGUCCUAUAUUAGUUUACAAAAGGGGUAACAUACAUAUCUGAACAUUUACACUUCUUAUCUUCAAUUCAGAGAUAAGACCGAAUAGUCUCUGGUCAGAUUUCCAUAGCCGCAAAAAGCUUCAAUAAUCUGUGAACUAUGUAAGACAGUAAUAUUAGAAACCCCUUAUUCUAUUGAUGUAUUCACAUCAAAAGAAAGGAGAUACAUGUCAACAGGGGAAAAAAACCAACCAUCAGUUGUGCUAAUGUUACCACUCCAGAGUGGCCUUAGUCCAAAGACACCACCUGGAUUAAAUUUUAGAACACAAUAAGUUUCAGUUAACUGGUGAACGCUCUCUGAAGUGCAAUUUAAAACAUAUAAAAUGGCACGGGAAGUGUGGAGCCCAUCCAGCUGACUGCGAUCAUCUCGAGAAGAGUGGUGUUUUUGCCCUCUUAUGGAGAUUUGAAAGAGCAAUUACCCCAAAAAAGUGUAGUUAACUGAUGAAUACGUGUUGUAAGCAGGCCCAAGUUCAUUAGUUUUGAAAAUCAAAAAAUUCCCUUUCAUAAUAUAAUUUUAUACUUCAUAUUUGUUCAGACAUUGCAAAUUUAUUUUUUGGUAUGAAGUAGAACUAAAAAGAACUGUUGAUACAUCAUACAUGUAUGCAUGAUAUUAUAAAGCAUCGAUAGAUUUUUAUUUAUUGAAAUGCUCCCUCUUGUGAAUUUAGUAGCAGUUUAGUACGAAGUCCUGGAUCGCUAGCUGAUGGUGAUGAAACACACGCUAUUACUAUUGAGCUGCCCAGACAGAAGCAGUCCCGCUUCAGAUACAGUCACACUAUGUAUGGGACACUUCAUAGAGAGAGAGAGA